ACAGUGGACGCGAGCAUCUGUGGCCAAGUUUUUAAGGGCGCACGGUGGAUGCCUUGGCACCAGGAACCGAUGAAGGACGUGGGAGGCCGCGAUAGGCCCCGGGGAGUUGUCAACCGAGCUGUGAUCCGGGGGUGUCCGAAUGGGGAAACCCGGCAGUCGUCAUGGGCUGUCACCCGCAUCUGAAUGUAUAGGGUGUGUGGAGGGAACGCGGGGAAGUGAAACAUCUCAGUACCCGCAGGAAGAGAAAACAACUGUGAUUCCGGGAGUAGUGGCGAGCGAAACUGGAUGAGGCUAAACCGUAUGUGUGUGAGACCCGGCAGGGGUUGCAUGUACGGGGUUGUGGGAGUUCUCUUGUCCGGUCUGCCGGCCGGUCGGCGAGUCAGAAAUUGUUGAUGUAGGCGAAGGGUAUGCGAAAGGCCCGGCGUAGAGGGUAAGACCCCCGUAGCUGAAAUGUCAGCAACUUGUUUGAGGACCACCCGAGUAGCAUGGGGCCCGAGAAAUCCUGUGUGAAUCUGGCGGGACCACCCGUCAAGCCUAAAUAUUCCCUGGUGACCGAUAGCGGAUAGUACCGUGAGGGAAUGGUGAAAAGUACCGCGGGAGCGGAGUGAAAGAGUACCUGAAACCGUGUGCCUACAAGCCGUGGGAGCGUCGCGUGCCAAGCUUGCUUGGUGCGUCGUGACUGCGUGCCUUUUGAAGAAUGAGCCUGCGAGUUUGCGGCAUGUUGCGAGGUUAACCCGUGUGGGGGAGCCGUAGCGAAAGCGAGUCCGAAGAGGGCGGUCUGAGUAGCGUGUUCAAGACCCGAAGCGGAGUGAUCUAGCCAUGGGCAGGGUGAAGCGGAGGUAAGACUUCGUGGAGGCCCGAACCCACCAGGGUUGAAAACCUGGGGGAUGACCUGUGGUUAGGGGUGAAAGGCCAAUCAAACUCCGUGAUAGCUGGUUCUCCCCGAAAUGCAUUUAGGUGCAGCGUCGUGUGUUUCUUGCCGGAGGUAGAGCACUGGAUAGGCGAUGGGCCCUACCGGGUUACUGACCUUAGCCAANUCCGAGUCUGUAGUAGGUGAGUGAUGGGGUGACGCAGGAAGGUAGUCCAGCCCGGGCGGUGGUUGUCCCGGGGUAAGGGUGUAGGGCGUCAUGCAGGUAAAUCCGCAUGGCACGAAGCCUGAGACCUGAUGCCGAGCCGAUUGUGGUGAAGUGGAUGAUCCUAUGCUGUCGAGAAAAGCCUCUAGCGAGUGCUGUUGCGGCCCGUACCCUAAACCGACUCAGGUGGUCUGGUAGAGAAUACCGAGGCGUUCGGGUGAACUAUGGUUAAGGAACUCGGCAAAAUGCCCCCGUAACUUCGGGAGAAGGGGGGCCACGGCCGGUGAAGAGUCUUGCACUCGGAGCUGGUGGUGGCCGCAGAGACCAGCGAGAAGCGACUGUUUACUAAAAACACAGGUCCGUGCGAAGCCGUAAGGCGAUGUAUACGGACUGACGCCUGCCCGGUGCUGGAACGUUAAGGGGACCGGUUAGUCACAUUUCGGUGUGGCGAAGCUGAGAACUUAAGCGCCAGUAAACGGCGGUGGUAACUAUAACCAUCCUAAGGUAGCGAAAUUCCUUGUCGGGUAAGUUCCGACCUGCACGAAUGGCGUAACGACUUCUUGACUGUCUCAACCAUAGGCCCGGUGAAAUUGCACUACGAGUAAAGAUGCUCGUUUCGCGCAGCAGGACGGAAAGACCCCGGGACCUUUACUACAGCUUGAUAUUGGUGUUCGGUUCGGUUUGUGUAGGAUAGGUGGGAGACUGUGAAGCAUUCGCGCCAGCGGGUGUGGAGUCGUUGUUGAAAUACCACUCUGAUCGUGCUGGAUGUCUAACCUGGGUCCGUGAUCCGGAUCAGGGACAGUGUCUGGUGGGUAGUUUAACUGGGGCGGUUGCCUCCUAAAAUGUAACGGAGGCGCCCAAAGGUUCCCUCAGCCUGGUUGGUCAUCAGGUGGUGAGUGUAAGUGCACAAGGGAGCUUGACUGUGAGACUGACGGGUCGAGCAGGGACGAAAGUCGGGACUAGUGAUCCGGCGGUGGCUUGUGGAAGCGCCGUCGCUCAACGGAUAAAAGGUACCCCGGGGAUAACAGGCUGAUCUUCCCCAAGAGUCCAUAUCGACGGGAUGGUUUGGCACCUCGAUGUCGGCUCGUCGCAUCCUGGGGCUGGAGUCGGUCCCAAGGGUUGGGCUGUUCGCCCAUUAAAGCGGUACGCGAGCUGGGUUUAGAACGUCGUGAGACAGUUCGGUCCCUAUCCGCUGCGCGCGUAGGAGUCUUGAGAAGGGCUGUCCCUAGUACGAGAGGACCGGGACGGACGGACCUCUGGUGUGCCAGUUGUUCUGCCAAGAGCAUGGCUGGUUGGCUACGUUCGGGAGGGAUAACCGCUGAAAGCAUCUAAGCGGGAAGCCUGCUUCGAGAUGAGGACUCCCACCCCCUGUGUGGGGUUAAGGCUCCCGGGAGAUGACCGGGUUGAUAGGCCGGAUAUGGAAGACCCGUGAGGGUUGGAGUUGACCGGUACUAAUAAGCCGAGGGCUUGACCACACA
rnacentral:rRNA from 1 species